rnacentral:rRNA from 1 species
GACAGAGGUGCCGAGCGUUAGGCGGAAUCACUGGGCUUAAAGCGUGUGUAGGCGGGUCGUUAAGUGCCUUGUGAAAUCCCACAGCUCACCUGUGGAACUGCUUGGCAUACUGGCGAUCUUGAGCCACUUAGGGGCAACCGGAACAAACGGUGGAGCGGUGAAAUGCGUAGAUAUCGGAAGGAACACCGGUGGCGAAAGCGGCGCGCUGGACCUCUUCUGACGCUGAGGCGCGAAAGCCAGGGGAGCGAACGGG